AUUGAACGCUGGCGGCAGGCCUAACACAUGCAAGUCGAGCGGAGCGGCGGACGGGUGAGUAAUGCCUAGGAAUCUGCCUGGUAGUGGGGGAUAACGUCCGGAAACGGGCGCUAACACCGCAUACUAUCAGAUGAGACUAGGUCGGAUUAGCUAGUUGGGGGGUGAAAGGCCUACAAAGGCGACGAUCCGUAACUGGUCUGAGAGGAUGAUCAGUCAACCUGGAACUGAGACACGUUCCAGACUCCUCCGGGAGGCAGCAUUGGGGAAUAUUGGACUAUGGGCGAAAUCCUGAUCCGGCCAUGCCGCGGGUGUGAAGAAGGUCUUCGGAUUGUAAAGUACUUUCAGCGGGGAGGCGUUACCCGCAGAAGAAGCACCGGCUAACUCCGUGCCAGCAGCCGCGGUAAUAC
rnacentral:rRNA from 1 species